UCCCCUCACAGGCCCCAGGGACAGUGGAGUUGUGCUACAAUGGUGGUUCCUCACUCACCAGGCACUGAGUGUUUGAAGUCUUUGGGGCAUCUUUCUUUUUUCACAUGCCGGAUAAACCUUUUCUUUAGUGUGUGUACUCUCCCUUUAGCAUGGUCAUUAAUGGCUUUUUGCAUGACACAGAUGGUGCUUUCUCCUGCACGCCGCACCUCUUCAUCAUUAUGCUCGGCCAUCCCUUCAAGCCCUGAGGGAGCAAGAGAGAAUAGAUCAGCUGGCCAAAGAUGCACAGAUGACUACCCUUCCACCCACCCCAACACCAGUGGGAUGUAUUUCUUUAGACUUCAAAGGGCAAAAAAACUGUGCCAAGACUUGGGCAACUUGAUAGUAGGAGAGGGAAUAUGGGGGUGGGGGACAGCCACCAGGAACGCUUCUCUCUGCUCCCUUUGUGUCUGAACCUGACCGAGGCACAGAGGAUACCAAUAGGGCAGCUGGGAGGAAGCUUUUUCUAGCAGAUGUCACAUGAAAGCCACUUACAAGUUACUGGUUCUUGGGUAACCUGGAACGGAAUCUGUAUUCCCAUUGUUCUCAAAGAGUCACAGAACGACUCCAGGGAUUAGGAUGGGGAAGAUAGCUUGGUGAUCUAUCGGCUGUAGCCAACAUGUGGGCAUCAGAGACAUAGCACCAGUGGCUUCCAGGGCCAUUUCAGAGGCAUGUUUUCUCUGAGAAAACAAAAGCUUGUCUGCCCUUCUCAUUUUUCCAAGCCAGAACUUGCUCCAAACAGAAAGAGAAAUGUACAUGUGUUUUGGGGGCAGUGGAGUUGCCAUCAACAUCCAUCCAUCCACCCGUCCAUCCAUCCAUCCAUCCCUCUUCUCAGUGUUGCAUCUGUCUUCAGGCACACUUGCUAGCAGAAGCCACUUGCUUCCCUCUCUGCCAAAGACAAAUCUCCCACUUACAUGUACAGUAAGAGCCCAUAUCCUCCAACAUGAUGAAGGUUGCAUCCUUGUGAGCAAGGUGUCCUAUAGAGACAACGGAGCAAACAGAAGUCACCACCGGGGAAUCCAGUCUAUCAGAUUAGACUAUCUAUCUACCUAACUAGUGGAGGAGGGGGGCGGAGCAGGAUGGAGUGGCUGGGGUAUGCCAUGGCAUCUCUAGAGACCUGAGCAGAAGGAACUCCUCCAAGACUGAAUGAAGGCCUUAUGGGCAUUAUGUUGCCCACCUUCAUGGCCUGGCUACCGAUAAUUAACUGAACAAUGCUUACUGGGCAAUCCAGGUCAACCAGGAAUGGAGGUGGUCAAUACUCCAUAUGAGGUUACAGGCCAGUGUUCUGCUUGUGAAGUAUGUACCAAGAAGUGGGGAAAGCGGAGGCGGUUUCAAAUUUUGCCCAGAGAAAGAAUUGUGACUAUUUGCAGUGGGCAGGUGAAAGACUUGGGAGUGGCUCUUACCUCUGGAGAAUUCAGCUGGUGCUGUGUUUAAGAGCAGUUUUGCCUAUCAAGGUUUGCCUUGCUUCCCCACUGCUUAGGGUCCAAAUGUAUUACUUGAAACACAUAGUUUGGCCUUUGAGUACUUGCAUUUAAGGAGUGGGGCUGAUCUGGAUUGGGCCCUCACUGGGAGCCAAGCAAGGAUUAAGCCUUCCCUCCCUCUGUGUCAUGGUACUGAUCUGGAUGCGUGCAAGGGCCUAAUGACAUAUUUAAAGUAACAUGCAGUUAAAUUGAUAUGAUACACAUACUCCAAAUCUCCUGUACUUGCUUUCCUUUGUGCCUAUUUAGAGACAUCCUGCCGUUGAGGAGAGUACAGAACAGAACAACAAAGCAUUGUUUCUACAGAGCCCAGUGACCCCUCCUUCCUGGCUCUGAGUUGUAGCAUCUUCGGCAAGGGUGACUUCCAUUCAAAUCCUGAACUGCCUCACUUCUGGAUCAUGCUAGACCACAGAUAGGGGUUGGCAGGGCAGGCUGAGGUCCAUCACUAAAGAGGAAGGAUACUGCCUCACUUACCGACAAAGAGUGCUGCCACCCUUGAGACUGCUGGCAGAUUGUUGGAGGAAGGAAGCAUGCAGCUGAAGGCAGCACCACGCACCAGAUCCUUCUUGUACUUUUUUGUCUAACAGAAACAAAAAAAGAGAGGCAGUUCUGUGCAUGCAAGACAACACUCUGUUGGAGAUAAGAGUUCCAGUGCAUCAACCUUUUGCACAGACUAUCCCGAUGACCACUAGGGGCAUUGGGAGUAGAAAUAGGAACAGCCUUUGGUCUAUUAUUCAGACUGCUGGCAACUUGAAGAGCCAGAGAAGGAACAGCCCACGGGUGGUUCAGGCUUUCCAUCUGCCCUCAGUUUAGCUCUUUACCCCAGGAGGACCAUGGCCCCCCUUCUAGCCUCAACACCACUGUUCAGUCCAGUGUGGAAGCCAAGUCAAAAGCAAAUGGCAAUGAGCAGCUGAGGGGCACACAAGGCGGCCUGGGAACUCUGACCACACUGAGCAACUGCAUUUAAAGAUACCGUGGCCUUGGGUUUACUGAACUGCCUAGGAAGAUAAGACGCUGAAGGUUGACGCUGAAGGUUGAAAGCUGCACGCGAUGGGAGCAAAGCACAGAAAGAAAAUCUCCAAAGAUAAAAAAGGUGGGAAAAUGCCCCGUCCCGCAUUAAACAACUUCUUGACUAAAACCGGAGGAGGAAAGAACACUCCCACAGAAAGGAAGGAACCACUUUUCACUCAGCUUCCUCAAUCUGUUCCACUAAAUGAUAAUCAGAAGGGAAACGUGGAGGAUGCUUUCGUGCUGCUGAAUUCCUCAGUGAACCCAGAAGUAAGCACUUGUAAUAAUCCUAUGGAAUGCUCUUUUGAUUGUAACUCUCCCUUGACUUUUUGCAGCAGCAGUGAGGAGAGUGCAGUGAGUGAACCUUCUCUUAUUCUUUGGAUAAUUCUGUCACGCAAAGGCAAGCCCCUUGUCAGAGACCUUCAUUGGAUUCUGUUGAGGGAGUCUCUUCUAGCAUGGCUUUCUUGGUGCAAGAGUCUUUAAAGGUCCUAUUCCAUCGCUUAUCGUUAAUAACUGAACAGCUAGAUACGUUGAUUAUUGAGCUGAGGAGGGACUCUAAGCCCUCCUCAAUGGCUGAUACUGCAAUAUUUAAGGAAGCCCCUGUCAUCGUCGAUGUCAGUGUGCAGACUGAUACUUAUUUUAAUAUUUUACCAGCCUCAAGGAACUUGAGAGCUCAUUAUAAUCCUAGUGGGUCAGCUUCACAGUCAACUCCGGCUGACGCUGCAUUCAGCCAGGAAAAGUUCUGUUUUCAAUUAGUCUACCAACCUUAGUGGAAUUCUAAAGAACAAAUUGUUAGUUCUCUUGCAUCUUUGUUAGCCUUUGCUCACAAUGCCAUUUACCUCGAUUCCUUUUUUAUUUUGGACCCUAUUAUGCCUCAUAUGCAAAAAUUGCAGUUUACAUUUGCCAGGGCUUUGAUUCCACAGUCCUUACUACAUAUGAAGAACCAUCUGGCUAAAUGGGAUAUUUAUCCCAGAUGAGUUUUCAUGGAGCUUAGGAAGCUAAAUAUAAGUCACACAGGGUCCUCUCUGAAGAACUGAAGGGAGUCUAGGGUGAACAUAGAGAAGCCUUCCACGAGCUAUCUGUCUAGAAGGCAUUCCGCUAGGGGGCAUCAGGUCAUAUAUAAAACAGAUCAGGUGAGCUAUCUAUCUUCUGCUCCCUCGGUCUGCGCUCCAAGUUCUGGCCCCGCGGCCUUUUCUGUGAGGGUUUGUUCCCCUCUCCACCUAAGUUAGCUUUGAUCCCCCUGGUAGAAUCUGAGGAUUUCUUUCCCUUGAUUUUGUCGGAAGUUGGAGCGCCCUUGGAGUUGCCCGUACCCGACCACCACUAUGGUCAGUUAAUCCCCCCUGAGAAGUUUCUUGAUGUCCCCUUAGUUAUGGCAAUGGAUGAGUUGUCUAAAAUGAAGGAAGUACAAAAUCCUCCCAUUUACACCCAUUCCUUGGAAUCAUCUGAUGAGGAGAGUGAUUUACUCCGGGAACCUAGAUCCCUCCUUAAGGAUGGACUGUGGUCUAAUAUUUCCAAAUUGUCCCAUCUUGAAACCAUUCUGACAGAAAACUGCAAACAUCUGAAGAGCGUUUUGUAGGCGAAUCCUGGGAGAUCGGUUAAUACUCCCAACCCCUCUUGCAAGGGGCUCCCUCCCAAUCUAGCUCUUAGAGAAGGUCCCUUGAGCUCUGAGCCUUUUGGACUUGUACCACACUGGACACAAACCAAAAUCACCAACUUUUUUCCUCCUGCAGUUAGACAGUAUUGCCUGUUGAUCCAGACAUCAGCCUACGCUCAGAGAUGACUGUUUGGGCUGCAGCCAUCUUGGAGUGGAUUGCCAAAUGCAUCUUAUAACUCAGCUUAUUCCUCUGAUGCCAUGUUCAGCUUUAAAGGAGAGUCUUCCCACUGGGAUAUGCUUCUGUGCGAUAUGUUCAGCCAUCCUAGUGAUUUAGUCACACAUGAGCCUUCUCUUCCUACAGGCUCGAAACAUAGUGUUUCUGGUUGUAACCAUAUAAAUUGGAGUUUUAUUAGUUGGAAUAUAGCGGGGUGGGCUGGGAAAAGAUGUAACCUAGCAUUUUUAUCUUUUUUACAAAAGUGGGAUGCAGGGGCGUAGCUAGGGAAGAGGGGGCCCGUGUUCAUCCCUCUCUCUGGUGGCCCCUCAGAUUGAGGAAGACAGUGGAGAAAAUAGGGAGGGAUGGAGCUGGAGGGCCGUCAGGAACUGGGGGCCCGUGUUCUUUGAACCCUUUCGCUCAAUUAUAGCUACGCCCCUGGUGGGAUGUGUUACUGCUGCAGGAAACAUGGUCUAAGGAAGAUUUAAAUAUCAACGGCUAUGUGAUUUAUAAAUUGUUGCCCACUCUGACUCCAAUAGGUGAAGACUUAAAAGGGGGCUUGGCUUGCUGUGUUUUGCUUUCCUUAGAACUGGACUCCCUACGGUUGCUUGACUUUUUUCCUUUUGCAAUGGCUGUUCUCAUUAAAACCCCAUGUGAGGACAUAUUGUUAAUUAAUGUUUGCAUCCCCCCCCCCGGUUCCUCUUAUGGCCCUAUGGCUGCCAUUUGGGAUCAACUGGACUCUUAUAUCCUGGAAACUAGUUUGAAGAUCCCGUGCGCUGAGAUUCUGCUCUUGGGUGAUUUCAAUGCAAGAUGUGGCCCGGAUAAUAAUGAAGUAAACGCCUCCCAUUUGUGGAGUGGGGGUGAUAACUCAGAUGGUUCCUUUACCCAUAUUUGCUUAUCUAAAGAUAGAGUCCUUAAUAAGGCAGGGGCUAAAUUGUUACAUCUUGCUAGAUCUUUUGAUCUGAUUCCUUUAAAUGGCACUGUCCCCCCUGUCAUCCCAGGUGAAUUUACAUAUUUAUCCUCUUGUGGCAGCAGUGCGGUGGACUAUAUUUUGGUUUCUCCCCUGCUGUUUAAUUGGGUCAUAGUGUUUGAAGUGGGCGAUCAAGCUUUUAGAGAUCACCUGCCCCUUCUUUUUUGCCUUGAUAUACCACGAGCUAGAAAAGAUUGUUUUAUUUCUAGCUCAGUUGAAUCCUUCCCUACUAAAAUGGGAUGGAAGGUAAAAUGGUCACCUGAUGUGGAAAGGGCAUUGAAUAUCCUGUAUUCUUCUGCAGUUGGCAUUGAGUUAUAUAACUGUGUUGUGCAGGCCCUGCCAGGAGCGCUAGCAAUCUCCUGUUAUGAGAAGCUUGAGGCUGAGGUUUCGCAAAAGAUCCUGACUACAGGUCAACUGCACUCUUUCUAGAGAGGUAGGAUGAACGACUCUAAUGAGUGGUUUGACUCCCAGUGCAGGGAUCUGCUUCCCAGGCUGAGGGGCAUAUAUAGGGAAUACAGAGCUGGUUCCAACCAAGUGCUCCCUCCAGAAUAUUUUACAACUAAGAAAGCUUAUAAAAUAUGUGUGAGGUCUGCCAAGUCCCAGACACAGAAAAAUAUCUGGAGGAGAUUAAUUUUGGCCACUCAUAAUAAGGAUAGUGGUGCCUUCUGGCACAUUAUUUCAGGUUCUACAUAUCCUAGAGUGCUUUUUGUGGUUCCUGCACCCGCUUGGGUAGCCCACUUUCAUGCUCCCUUUAAUGGAGCUUCGGCCUCUUUGGGUAAUGAUCCCUCCACCCUUGAGAAGUUGCCCUUGUGGCCACCUCUUACACUGGAUGAUACAGUUAAUCUAGUUAGAGGUCUAAAGAAAAAGAAAGCGCCUGCUUCUGAUCUCAUUUUCCCUGUAGACAGUAUUAGGUAACCUUGAUUGGUGGGCUCAUGUCCUAGCCAGUUUGUUUACCUCGAUUAAUAACACAGGUGUUAUUCCCUCUUCCUGGAGUGAGGCCAUUGUGGUCCCUAUUUAUAAACAUGGCUCCCCCUCCAUCCCUUCCAACUAUAGACCCAUUAGCUUGUUAUCGGUGAUAGGCAAACUUUACGCCCAUUAUCUUUUGGAUAAGUUGGAGGGCUGGACGCUGGAGUACCAUAUUCUAGGCCCCGAGCAGGCAGGAUUCAGGGCUGGCCACUCGAAGCUAGAUCACUGUAUGGUAUUAUACCAUCUGGCAUGCAAGUACACAGGGUAAACUCUUUGUCGCAUUCAUGGAUUUGCGAGCUGCUUUUGAUUCCAUACCAAGAGAGGUACUAUGGGCUAAACUUCUUUUGUUGUUUGUAGUGAAAUAUCUAUUGAUAAAAGGCUCUUAUUCCUAAUCAGAUGACUUUAUGCCAAUUCCACAAUCAAAGUUAGAUAUGAUCCUUCAGGGGCCCUAACUGAGCAUAUUCCUACCACACGAGGAGUCAGGCAAGCUUGUCUGCUGGCACCUGCAUUGUUUAGUUUAUUUAUUAAUGACCUGGUCCAGGUUUUGGGAAGGGCAGAUGCCCAUUCUCCUAAAUUGGCAGAUGUAAGAGCACUGGCGUUGUUAUAUGCUGAUGACAUGGCGCUUUUAUCUCAGUCUCGGCUUGGCUUAAUGAGACUCUUGGAGGCAUUUGCCAAGUAUUGUAAUAUAAACAAACUUUCCAUUAACUUUGAUAAAUCAAAGGUUUUGGUAUCUCGAAUUCUAGGAAAGUUUAUAAAUGCAGGAUCAACCAGACCAGUAUAGAACAAGUCACCAAGUUCAAAUACCUUGGGACCUAUUUCCAAUCCAACUUGAACUGGAAAUCGCAGCAGUUACAUGUUAUCUCCCUGGCACGUAACACACUAUAUGCCUUUUUGUGCUUUUUUAAUGGAAAAGGUGGCUAAUUUAUACCAAUGGCUUUGCGAGUGUUUUGAGCCAAGAUUGUGGCUCAAAUGCUCUUCAGAGUCGCUAUCUGGAUCCAAGGGGUCCAUCCAGAUAUCGAAUCGAUCCAGUCUAGAUUCCUUAGAGCCAUUUUCAGAGUUCCCAAAUGUGUAUCUUACGCUGCUUUAUGUUUGGAGACCAGCUCUUAUCCGAUCUCCUGUUUAGCUUGGGAGGCCUCAUUCACACGCUGGCUGCUGCUUCUUCUUCUUCUUCUUCUUCUUCUUCUUCUUCUUAUUAUUAUUAUUAUUAUUAUUAUUAUUAUUAUUAUUAAUUCGAUUUCUAUACCGCCCUUCCAAAAAUGGCUCAGGGCGGUUUACAAAGAGAGAUAACAAACAAAUAAGAUGGCUCCCUGUCCCCAAAGGGCUCACAUUCUAAAAAGAAACAUAAGACACACACCAGCAACAGUCACUGGAAGUACUGUGCUGGGGGUGGAUAGGGCCAGUUACUCUCCCCCUGCUAAAUAAAGAGAAUCACCAUGGUAAAAGGUGCCUCUUUGCCCAGUUAGCAGGCUUAAACUCUGUUUAGACCCUGAGGGACCUUCAUAUGUUCAACAUAUGUGGAGAGACACCUUCCCUAAUCCAUGCUUGUCUGUUGUCACCAACAAAUUGUUGGGCAUGGGGCUUUCCCCCUCUCACAUUUUCUCCUUGGGUUUUGUAAAGGCGAAGGCUAUUGUCAUUCAGCACCUAAAGGAUAUUGAGUACCAACACCUACUUGACUUUGGAAACAAUAUUGUUCCCCUUUGUACCUUGGCAUUUCCCCUCCAGCUGGAAAACAGGCUGCUAGUUAUCAAACCACUCUUCAUUUUGUUAAAUUUAGGCCAGCCUUUGCUACGGCUAGGCUGAAUGUAUUACCUUCAGCCUUGCUUCAAAAGAGGUUCUCUAAAGAACCCCCUGUUUCCGGGUUGUGUCUAUGUGGGGAGGGUAGUUUGGAAACAGUCACUCAUAUUCCUUUAUACUGUUCCCUUUAUCGUGAUUCUAGGAAUGAAUUACUGCAUCCAUUACUAGAGCAAUUCCCUGGUAGGUCUGAUCCUUUUUAUCUUAAUUAUUGUUUAGCUGAUACCAAUGAUGAAGUCACCAAAGUGGUAGCCAAAUUUAUUUAUGGGGUGAUGAGACAGACAUCCUGCCACGGACUUUUAUAAGUUUGAUCUUAUGGUAGUUUUAGUCUUACUUGUAUGUAUUGUUAUAUUUAUUCUGCUUAUUGUAAUUCUGAAUGGCUGUGUUAUUGUCACUUUUGUUUUUGUUUGGCUUAUGGCUGCAAUAAAAGAACUACUACUACUA